rnacentral:rRNA from 1 species
UACGAAGGGUGCUAGCGUUGUUCGGAAUCACUGGGCGUAAAGCGCGCGUAGGCGGCGUUUCAAGUCAGGGGUGAAAUCCUUGGGCUCAACCCAAGAAUUGCCUUUGAAACUGUAACGCUGGAGUGUCGGAGGGGAUAGCGGAAUUGCUAAUGUAGAGGUGAAAUUCGUAGAUAUUAGCAGGAACACCGGUGGCGAAGGCGGCUAUCUGGACGACAACUGACGCUGAGGCGCGAAAGUGUGGGGAUCAAACAGG